rnacentral:rRNA from 1 species
GACGAACGCUGGCGGCGUGCUUAACACAUGCAAGUCGAACGGAAAGGCCCUGCUUUUUUGGGGUGCUCGAGUGGCGAACGGGUGAGUAACACGUGAGUAACCUGCCCUUGACUUUGGGAUAACUUCACGAAACUGGGGCUAAUCCCGGAUAGGAGCUCCUGCUUCAUGGUGGGGGUUGGAAAGUUUCGGCGGUUGGGGAUGGACUCGCGGCUUAUCAGCUUUUUGGUGGGGUAGUGGCUUACCAAGGCUUUGACGGGUAGCCGGCCUGAGAGGGUGACCGGCAACAUUGGGACUGAGAUACGACCCAGACUCCGACGGGAGGGAGCAGUGGGGAAGAGUGCAAAGUAGGCGGGAGGCGGGAGCGGCAAAGCCGCGUGGGGUAUGAGGGCCUUCGGGUUGUAAACCACUGUCGCCUGUGACGAAGCGGGAGUGACGGUAAUGGGUAAAGAAGCACCGGCUAACUACGUG